rnacentral:rRNA from 1 species
UACGUAGGGGGCAAGCGUUGUCCGGAUUUAUUGGGCGUAAAGAGCGUGUAGGCGGCCAAGCAGGUCCGCUGUGAAAACUCGAGGCUCAACCUCGAGACGUCGGUGGAAACCGUUUGGCUAGAGUCCGGAAGAGGAGAGUGGAAUUCCCGGUGUAGCGGUGAAAUGCGCAGAUAUCGGGAAGAACACCCGUGGCGAAGGCGGCUCUCUGGGACGGUACUGACGCUGAGACGCGAAAGCGUGGGGAGCAAACAGG